CACUGACUCGCUCCGUCCAGGCUAGAGGCCCAGAGAGCUUGGUGGGGGAAAGGGUGGGACAGCAAAGGGGGUGGGGUUCAUCUAUUUUGAAUGGAUUACUUUAAAUACUAACAGGUGGCAUUUAAAAGUUGCUCUUUGGGUGGAGGGGAGAGGAUUGUGGUAGCUGGACAAGCUUCACUACAAGGACAAGGAAAGAAUUGCACAUGGAGGCAUUUUCUCUCCAUAUUUUCUUGACCUUAAAAAAAACAAAAGAUUCAAUUCCCUUUUCUAACUGCAAUCCACUUGGCCAGCAUCUUGAUCCCUUUUGAUAUGCGUGUUUUGAUCCGGGCUCAUGCAAAGCCGGUGGACCACCUUUUCAGUUUAAACAGCAGCAGCUGCUGCCUGAUUCUCUUUUUAAGUGGCCUGCGUGCCUGCGGGGCCAAAGGGCUUCUUCCAGGACGCACCUCCCGGACCCUCCUCAGCCACCCAAGGACUGGCCCUGGUAUGAAGAAGACAAAGACGAAGAAUUUGAGUCCUAGAGGAAUACUGAACAAGAGAUGCAAACAAGGGACAGAGGAUGUAACCCCCAUUGUAAGUCAAGGAGUAUUGGCAUCUACAACAUAAUAAAGUCACAAAAUAUCUCCACAAAACACCAAAUAUAAAUGAGUUGGGAGAAAGCAUAAAAAAGUAUUGGGCCAUAGUGGUAUCAGCAUCUGUGUGAGAGACAGCAAAGGAAUGUACCCAGGCUUCUGAUGGUCCAGAGAACACAAUUCACUAAUGGGUAAAUGUAAAGGGCCAAUCUAGAAUAGUAGCCAAACUGGGAGGGGAUUCCACACAAUCUGAUUUGCAAGUGAAAGCAAGAGGACAUCAACUCAAUAAAGUCUGAGAUACUAGAGCAAUAUGGCUAUGCUCAAAUCUAACAAAAAAGAACUGCUUCCAACAUGGAAUCCAACAGUAAAGAGAAAUUACUGAGAGUCUAAUCAAAAUUGAGCAGACAGAAGCAAAGAAAAGAGAAGGUUGAGAAAAAGUUGGACAACGGAGUCAGGAAGAGAGCAGAAUCGAGAAUUUUUUUAGAAGUCAUUUUACAAAAACAAGAAGAGUGGGAGCACUAGAGCCUUGAAGACAGAAAUGGUAUCAUGAACUAUCCACCCUAUUUAAAAGUACAAAAAAAAUCAUUUUACUUAAAAAAAAUGAACAACAGAAAAUAGCAGAUUCUUCCUAAAGUUAUUGUAAGGGAAUAAAAGCAUACAAAGAAUAAAAGAUGUCCCUAUGAAUAAUGAAAGCAUGCCAGAAAGACAUGCUCACAUAAGAUGAAAACUGUGACCUAAUAUUUCAAAGUAAGCUAAAAAUCCUUUUUUAAAUGACAACAGUGAUGAAAAACCUCAUUACUUAAAAAAUACUCGGAAAUGAUGUGUUUGACAGCAAGGAAGAUAUGAAAAUAGAGGUGAUCAAACUCAGGAAAAACUUAGAAAAGAUAUCAAAACUUAUUUUAGGGAUGAAGACUAAGUUACAAGAAACACAAGAAUGAAUAAACACAAUGGAUAAUGCCUUAACAGAAAUAGGAAAUGGUAAGAAAAAAACUACAGAAUUAAAAAAAUGAGGAGACAAGAUUUCAAGAGAAAGUAAUAUGUAACAUAGGCAAAGAAGGUCCAACAUGUGUGUGUAACAGGAGUCCCUCAAGAAAUGACCAAAGGAACAAAACAAAAAAUACUAAAAACUAUAAUUUUUAAAACUCUCCUAAAAUAAAAGAUAACUUGAAAGGACAUACGGAAAGGACAUACUUAUAUCUGGGGAAAAUAAUCAACAUAUCAAAUAUAUCUGAUAAAGCUAAAGUGACCUUCAAGUAUAAAGGCUACAGAUUAAAAAAGCUAUAUCUGAGUUCUUGCUACAUAACUAGCAAGAACUUACGGAAUAUUGUUCCUAUGAGUCUUUCCUGAAAAUCUAUUAGAGAAUGCUCUUCAAUCAAAAGCCUGGAAAGGAAUUAACAUAAGAACUGGUGGAAGGUGUGAGUCAUUGAGCCAGCACCUUUGAAGGAGAAGAGAGCAGCAGUAUGUUCAGUAUCUCUAUGGGCAAGUCUUCCACCACUAAAUGAAAUAAAUGACCAUAGAAGGAUAGUAAAAUUACAUUGUUUCCCUCUCAACACAUUUGAAUUUAAGACUAUAAAUUUCCAGAAUGUCUGAUAACUAAAUGUGAGUUAUUAAAUUCCUUCUAGAGCCAGAUAUAUAUAUAUAUGAGAGAGAGAGAGAGAGAGAGAAACAGACAGAAAGAAAGAAAGAAAGAAAGAAAGAAAGAAAGAAAGAAAGAAAGAAAGAAAGAAAAAAUAAAUUCUAAUAUUCCUCCAACGUCAUUGAAUUGGCUAGCCUUAGAGAGGUAAGUUUUCUCCCUAAGUAACCUAGUAAAGAAAUCAGCUCCUGCUCAAUCUAGAGGAGAAAGUAACUGAAAUUGGAGGAUUCACACUAAAACCAUCAAUAGGUUUUUGCCUAUUCUCUCCCUCCAAGCCUGACACUCACAAAGUUCCAAGUGCAUCCUAUGGAAGUCUAUAGCAAGAACCAGGAAAGCAUUAAGAAAUAGUAGUUCCUUUUAUGGAGAAAGAUAUUUACCAUGAGAAAUGAUGGGAUAAUGGACUGAGGGGGUUGAAGAAGAGCCAUGUAGAAAAGAUAGAAGCCUUGAGGAAGAUCUUCUCCUUGCAAUGGGGUAAAUCUAGAAGGGCCUCUUACAGAACAAAGAGAAUAACCAGGCUCCUUCCACACUACCUUACCAACUACUGGACAUGUCAGUAAAGAACAAAGCAUCCCUAAAAUUAUUUUCAAGGCCAAGAAAAAGCUGAUUAUGGCUAUUAAUAUUAUGGAAUCUCUACAAAAGGACAAUCAAAUUAUGCCAUGUAAAAUGUAUUUAGAUAGGUGUAUGCCUAUAAUUCCUCUAAUUCUGAAAAGUAACAUCCUUCCUUGGAAAAUUAUCUGCAUUCUUAUUUCCUAUUUGAAUAAAGA
rnacentral:lncRNA from 10 species